rnacentral:rRNA from 1 species
UACAGAGGGGGCGAGCGUUGUUCGGAAUUACUGGGCGUAAAGGGCGCGUAGGCGGCCUUCUAAGUCGAACGUGAAAUCCCCGGGCUCAACCCGGGAACUGCGUCCGAUACUGGGAGGCUUGAAUCCGGGAGAGGGAUGUGGAAUUCCAGGUGUAGCGGUGAAAUGCGUAGAUAUCUGGAGGAACACCCGUGGUGCAGACGGCUUGCUGGACCGUGACUGACGCUGAGGCACGAAAGCGUGGGUAGCAAACAGG